UACGUAGGGGGCAAGCGUUGUCCGGAUUUAUUGGGCAUAAAGAGCGUGUAGGCGGUUCGGUAGGUCCGUUGUGAAAACUCGAGCUCAACCUCGAGACGCCGAUGGAAACCCCCGAACUAGAGUCCGGAAGAGGAGAGUGGAAUUCCCGGUGUAGCGGUGAAAUGCGCAGAUAUCGGGAAGAACACCCGUGGCUAAGGCGGCUCUCUAGUACGGUACUGGACGCUGAGACGCGAAAGCGUGGGGAGCGAACAGG
rnacentral:rRNA from 1 species